AGCGAACGCUAGCGGCGGGCUUAACACAUGCAAGUCGAGCGGAGGGGCAACCCUUAGCGGUCGGACGGGUGAGUAACACGUAGGUAACGUAUCCUCUGGUGGGGAAUAACCGUGGGAAACCAUGGCUAAUACCGCAUAUCGUAUGAAAGUAUGAAAGCCUUCGGGCGCCAGUUGAGCGGCCCUGCGGCCCAUUAGUUAGUUGGCGGGGUAACGGCCCACCAAGACGUAUGAUGGGUAGCUGGUCUGAGAGGAUGAUCAGCCACACUGGAACUGAGACACGGUCCAGACUCCUACGGGAGGCAGCAGUGGGGAAUAUUGCGCAAUGGGCGAAAG
rnacentral:rRNA from 1 species